CAGCCGCCGCGGGAAUACGUAGGGUGCGAGCGUUAAUCGGAAUUACUGGGCGUAAAGCGUGCGCAGGCGGUGAUGUAAGACAGAUGUGAAAUCCCCGGGCUCAACCUAGGAACUGCAUUAGUGACUGCAUCGCUGGAGUGCGGCAGAGGGGGAUGGAAUUCCGCGUGUAGCAGUGAAAUGCGUAGAUAUGCGGAGGAACACCGAUGGCGAAGGCAAUCCCCUGGGCCUGCACUGACGCUCAUGCACGAAAGCGUGGGGAGCAAACAGGAUUAGAUACCCCAGUAGUCCCUGUCUCUUAUAC
rnacentral:rRNA from 1 species